AACGAACGCUGGCGGCAUGCCUAACACAUGCAAGUCGAACGAGACCUUCGGGUCUAGUGACGCACGGGUGCGUAACGCGUGGGAAUCUGCCCUUGGGUUCGGAAUAACAGUUGGAAACGACUGCUAAUACCGGAUGAUGACGUAAGUCCAAAGAUUUAUCGCCCAGGGAUGAGCCCGCGUAGGAUUAGCUAGUUGGUGGGGUAAAGGCCUACCAAGGCGACGAUCCUUAGCUGGUCUGAGAGGAUGAUCAGCCACACUGGGACUGAGACACGGCCCAGACUCCUACGGGAGGCAGCAGUGGGGAAUAUUGGACAAUGGGCGAAAGCCUGAUCCAGCAAUGCCGCGUGAGUGAUGAAGGCCUUAGGGUUGUAAAGCUCUUUUACCCGGGAUGAUAAUGACAGUACCGGGAGAAUAAGCCCCGGCUAACUCCGUG
rnacentral:rRNA from 1 species